CCCAGGGUGACACUUUAUUAGGUC
rnacentral:siRNA from 1 species